AACAGGGAUUGCCCCAGUAACGGCGAGUGAAGCGGCAACAGCUCAAAUUUGAAAUCUGGCCUCGGCCCGAGUUGUAAUUUGUAGAGGAUGCUUUUGGUGAGGUGCCUUCUGAGUUCCCUGGAACGGGACGCCAGAGAGGGUGAGAGCCCCGUAUAGUUGGACACCGAGCCUCUGUAAAGCUCCUUCGACGAGUCGAGUAGUUUGGGAAUGCUGCUCAAAAUGGGAGGUAUAUCUCUUCUAAAGCUAAAUACUGGCCAGAGACCGAUAGCGCACAAGUAGAGUGAUCGAAAGAUGAAAAGCACUUUGAAAAGAGGGUUAAAUAGUACGUGAAAUUGUUGAAAGGGAAGCGCUUGUGACCAGACUUGUGCCGGGCUGAUCAUCCAGUGUUCUCACUGGUGCACUCUGCCCGGCUCAGGCCAGCGUCGGUUCUCGCAGGGGGACAAAAGCUUCGGGAACGUAGCUCUCUUCGGGGAGUGUUAUAGCCCGCUGCUCAAUACCCUUGUGGGGACCGAGGUUCGCGCUCUGCAAGGACGCUGGCAUAAUGGUCAUCAGCGGCCCGUCUUGAAACACGGACCAAGGAGUCGAGGUUUUGCGCGAGUGUUUGGGUGUCAAACCCGCACGCGUAAUGAAAGUGAACGUAGGUGAGAGCUUCGGCGCAUCAUCGACCGAUCCUGAUGUAUUCGGAUGGAUUUGAGUAAGAGCGUAUAGCCUCGGACCCGAAAGAUGGUGAACUAUGCCUGAAUAGGGUGAAGCCAGAGGAAACUCUGGUGGAGGCUCGCAGCGGUUCUGACGUGCAAAUCGAUCGUCAAAUUUGGGCAUGGGGGCGAAAGACUA
rnacentral:rRNA from 1 species